UUGGCUUUGGUAUAUGGAAUAGAGUCUUUCCUUAUAGCUAGUCUUCUGACUUGCUCUGGAAUACGGAUUUUUCAUGCCUAGCUUUAUGGGAAAGAUCAUAUCUAGAGUAGAUACCGAAUCUCAUUCCUUAUCAAUUUCAUGGUUCAUUCCAGUCUUUAGUAAGUCAAGGCAUUCGGGAAGCAGGAGAUCGAUCCGCUCUUUCCAUCUCUCUUGCCGGCUUAGCCGAACUACUUGAACUCGAG
rnacentral:lncRNA from 1 species